UACAGAGGUCUCAAGCGUUGUUCGGAUUUAUUGGGCGUAAAGGGUGCGUAGGCGGCGGGGUAAGUGAGGUGUGAAAUCCCAGAGCUCAACUCUGGAACUGCACUUUAUACUGCUCUGCUUGAGUCUUGGAGAGGAGACUGGAAUUUACGGUGUAGCAGUGAAAUGCGUAGAUAUCGUAAGGAAGACCAGUGGCGAAGGCGAGUCUCUGGACAAAGACUGACGCUGAGGCACGAAGGCCAGGGGAGCAAACGGG
rnacentral:rRNA from 1 species